rnacentral:lncRNA from 1 species
GCUAACAAAGCCUCUUUUCUUAAUAAUUGUAUAGAUUUAGACCUCCUAAAAUUUUUGCUAUAAGACAAUAUUUGGCAAAUAAGGGGCAAGAGUGGCAGUUUAAGUGCCAAAUAUUUAAACAGUUGCGGUUGAUGGCACACUUAAUGAGCUUCGAUUAUCUACUUCAUCAAACAUUCAUAAAGAUUAUAGCAUUUAAUUGUUGCUUGGAGACGUGAAAGUACUAGGAUCAGCAUCAAUAAGCAUCUUGAUCACCUCUCGCAUUGUAGGC